AUACGGAGGGUGCAAGCGUUAUCCGGAAUCAUUGGGUUUAAAGGGUCCGUAGGCGGACUAUUAAGACAGAGGUGAAAUCCCACAGCUCAACUGUGGAACUGCCUUUGAUACUGGUAGUCUUGAGUUAUAUGGAAGUAGAUAGAAUGUGUAGUGUAGCGGUGAAAUGCAUAGAUAUUACACAGAAUACCGAUUGCGAAGGCAGUCUACUACGUAUAUACUGACGCUAAGGGACGAAAGCGUGGGGAGCGAACAGGAUUAGAAACCCCGGUAGUCC
rnacentral:rRNA from 1 species